AUGUUUGGCAGAGGGGCCAAAUUGACCAUCUUAGGUCAGCCUAAGGCUGGGCCCUUGCUCACCCUGUUCUCACCCUCCUCUGAGGAGCUCCAGAGCAACAAGKCCACCCUGGUGUGUCUGAUCAGCGACAUCUACCCAGGUGUUGUGACCKUGGACUGGAAGAGAGAUGGCGCCRUGGAUACCCAGGGUGUGGAGACCACUCAGCCCUCCAAACAGACCAACAAUAAGUACAUGGCCAGCAGCUACCUGACUGUGACAGCAGAUGAGUGGAUCUCAUGA